AUUGAACGCUGGCGGCAGGCCUAACACAUGCAAGUCGAGCGGCAGCGGGACCUUCGGGUUGCCGGCGAGCGGCGGACGGGUGAGUAAUGCCUAGGAAUCUGCCUGUUAGUGGGGGAUAACGCGGGGAAACUCGCGCUAAUACCGCAUACGCCCUACGGGAGAAAGCGGGGGCUCUUCGGACCUCGCGCUAACAGAUGAGCCUAGGUCGGAUUAGCUAGUUGGUGGGGUAAUGGCCCACCAAGGCGACGAUCCGUAACUGGUCUGAGAGGAUGAUCAGUCACACUGGAACUGAGACACGGUCCAGACUCCUACGGGAGGCAGCAGUGGGGAAUAUUGGACAAUGGGCGAAAGCCUGAUCCAGCCAUGCCGCGUGUGUGAAGAAGGUCUUCGGAUUGUAAAGCACUUUAAGUCGGGAGGAAGGGCUGUAGGUUAAUACCCUGCGGUUUUGACGUUACCGACAGAAUAAGCACCGGCUAACUUCGUGCCAGCCGCCGCGGUAA
rnacentral:rRNA from 1 species